GACGAACGCUGGCGGCGUGCCUAAUACAUGCAAGUCGAACGCAUGUUCUAGAAGCUUGCUUUUCUGAUGUUAACGACAGUCGGUGGAGUAACACGUGGAAAAACUACCUUAAAGACUGGGAUAACUUCGGGAAACCCUAGCUAACACCGGAUAAUAUUGUAUAACUCAUUUUUCAAAAGUGAAAGACGGUCUUGCUCUCACUUAUAGCACGAUCCGCGCUGCAUUCGCUAGUUGGUAGGGUAACGGCUUACAAAGGCAACGAUGAAUAGCCUACCUAGGCGGGGAACGGGCACCAUGGGAACUGGGACAGGGUCCAGACUCCUACGGGAGGAAGCAGUGGGAAAUUUUGGGAAAUGGGGGAAAGCCUGACGGACCAAGGCCGGGUGGUGAAGAAAGGUCUUCGGUUCGAAAACCCUUUUUAUUGGGAAGAAACAGAUGGGUAGGUGAAAGUGCACACCUUGACGGUACCUAACCAGAAAGCCACGGCUAACUACGUG
rnacentral:rRNA from 1 species